rnacentral:rRNA from 1 species
UACGUAGGGUGCAAGCGUUAUCCGGAAUUAUUGGGCGUAAAGAGCUCGUAGGCGGUUUGUCGCGUCGUCCGUGAAAACUUGGGGCUCAACCCCAAGCUUGCGGGCGAUACGGGCAGACUUGAGUACUGCAGGGGAGACUGGAAUUCCUGGUGUAGCGGUGAAAUGCGCAGAUAUCAGGAGGAACACCGGUGGCGAAGGCGGGUCUCUGGGCAGUAACUGACGCUGAGGAGCGAAAGCGUGGGUAGCGAACAGG